GCCGGGAAGUGGAAGAAAGAGGGCAUAAGAGCAGUGGGAGUGGGAACAUGGAGGAAAGUCUAACUUGCUUUGUUUCAUCUCUAGUGUUGGAGGUGGGAACUUGCUUGGUGUUUCCCGAUGCCUCUCAUUCCUAUUGUUCUCAAGCACUCCUUCCUCUUCCUUUUUUGG
rfam:Triticum aestivum genome assembly, contig: Triticum_aestivum_CS42_TGACv1_scaffold_129440_2BL